AUUGAACGCUGGCGGCAUGCUUUACACAUGCAAGUCGAACGGCAGCGCGGGCUUCGGCCUGGCGGCGAGUGGCGAACGGGUGAGUAAUGCAUCGGAACGUGCCCAGUAGUGGGGGCUAGCCCGGCGAAAGCCGGAUUAAUACCGCAUACGACCUGAGGGUGAAAGCGGGGGACCGAAAGGCCUCGCGCUAUUUGAGCGGCCGAUGUCGGAUUAGCUAGUUGGUGGGGUAAAGGCUUACCAAGGCGACGAUCCGUAGCUGGUCUGAGAGGACGACCAGCCACACUGGGACUGAGACACGGCCCAGACUCCUACGGGAGGCAGCAGUGGGGAAUUUUGGACAAUGGGGGCAACCCUGAUCCAGCCAUGCCGCGUGCGGGAAGAAGGCCUUCGGGUUGUAAACCGCUUUUGUUCGGGAAGAAAUCCUCUGGGCUAAUACCCCGGGGGGAUGACGGUACCGGAAGAAUAAGCACCGGCUAACUACGUG
rnacentral:rRNA from 1 species